rnacentral:tRNA from 1 species
GCGGAUGUGGUGGAAUUGGUAGACACGCAGCGUUGAGGUCGCUGUGGCUUAUUGCUAGCCUUGGAAGUUCAAGUCUUCUCAUCCGUA